rnacentral:rRNA from 1 species
CCUACGGGAGGCUGCAGUGGUGAAUAUUGGGCAAUGGGCGCAAGCCUGACCCAGCAACGCCGCGUGAAGGAAGAAGGCUUUCGGGUUGUAAACUUCUUUUCUCAGGGACGAAGCAAGUGACGGUACCUGAGGAAUAAGCCACGGCUAACUACGUGCCAGCAGCCGCGGUAAUACGUAGGUGGCAAGCGUUAUCCGGAUUUACUGGGUGUAAAGGGCGUGUAGGCGGGGACGCAAGUCAGAUGUGAAAACCACGGGCUCAACCUGUUGCCUGCAUUUGAAACUGUGUUUCUUGAGUACUGGGGAGGCAGGCGGGAUUCCUAGUGUAGCGGGGAAAUGCGUAGAUAUUAAGGAGAACACC